rnacentral:rRNA from 1 species
GAUGAACGCUGGCGGCGUGCCUAAUACAUGCAAGUCGAGCGAACGGACGAGAAGCUUGCUUCUCUGAUGUUAGCGGCGGACGGGUGAGUAACACGUGGAUAACCUACCUAUAAGACUGGGAUAACUUCGGGAAACCGGAGCUAAUACCGGAUAAUAUUUUGAACCGCAUGAUUCAAAAGUGAAAGACGGUCUUGCUGUCACUUAUAGAUGGAUCCGCGCUGCAUUAGCUAGUUGGUAAGGUAACGGCUUACCAAGGCAACGAUGCAUAGCCGACCUGAGAGGGGGACCGGCAAAACGGGAAUGGGAAAACGGUCCAGACUCCUACGGGAGGCAGCAGUAGGGAACCUUCGCAAUGGGCGAAAGCCUGACGGAGCAACGCCGCGUGAGUGAUGAAGGUCUUCGGAUCGUAAAACUCUGUUAUUAGGGAAGAACAUAUGUGUAAGUAACUGUGCACAUCUUGACGGUACCUAAUCAGAAAGCCACGGCUAACUACGUG